GACGAACGCUGGCGGCGUGCUUAACACAUGCAAGUCGAACGAAAAGAGGGAAAGAGCUUGCUCUUUCCGGAAUUGAGUGGCAAACGGGUGAGUAACACGUAAACAACCUGCCUUCAGGAUGGGGACAACAGACGGAAACGACUGCUAAUACCGAAUAAGUUCCAAGAGCCGCAUGGCCCAUGGAAGAAAAGGUGGCCUCUACCUGUAAGCUAUCGCCUGAAGAGGGGUUUGCGUCUGAUUAGCUGGUUGGAGGGGUAACGGCCCACCAAGGCGACGAUCAGUAGCCGGUCUGAGAGGAGGAACGGCCACACUGGAACUGAGACACGGUCCAGACUCCUACGGGAGGCAGCAGUGGGGAAUCUUCCGCAAUGGGCGAAAGCCUGACGGAGCAACGCCGCGUGAGGGAUGACGGCCUUCGGGUUGUAAAACUCUGUGAUCCGGGACGAAAAGGCAGAGUGCGAAGAACAAACUGCAUUGACGGUACCGGAAAAGCAAGCCACGGCUAACUACGUG
rnacentral:rRNA from 1 species